AUUGAACGCUGGCGGCAGGCCUAACACAUGCAAGUCGAGCGGAUGAAGGGAGCUUGCUCCUGGAUUCAGCGGCGGACGGGUGAGUAAUGCCUAGGAAUCUGCCUGGGAGUGGGGGAUAACGUCCGGAAACGGGCGCUAAUACCGCAUACGUCCUGAGGGAGAAAGUGGGGGAUCUUCGGACCUCACGCUAUCAGAUGAGCCUAGGUCGGAUUAGCUAGUUGGUGGGGUAAAGGCCUACCAAGGCGACGAUCCGUAACUGGUCUGAGAGGAUGACCAGUCACACUGGAACUGAGACACGGUCCAGACUCCUACGGGAGGCAGCAGUGGGGAAUAUUGGACGAUGGGCGGAAGCCUGAUCCAGCCAUGCCGCGUGUGUGAAGAAGGUCUUCGGAUUGUAAAGCACUUUAAGUUGGGAGGAAGGGCAGUAAGUUAAUACCUUGCUGUUUUGACGGUACCAACAGAAUAAGCACCGGCUAACUUCGUG
rnacentral:rRNA from 1 species